UACGAAGGGUGCUAGCGUUGUUCGGAAUUACUGGGCGUAAAGCGCACGUAGGCGGAGUUGUUAGUCAGGGGUGAAAUCCCGGGGCUCAACCUCGGAACUGCCUUUGAGACUGCAAGUCUCGAGUCCGGAAGAGGUGGGCGGAAUUCCUAGUGUAGCGGUGAAAUUCGUAGAUAUUAGGAAGAACAACAGUGGCGAAGGCGGCCCACUGGUCCAGUACUGACGCUGAGGUGCGAAAGCGUAGGGAGCAAACAGG
rnacentral:rRNA from 1 species